rnacentral:rRNA from 1 species
UACAGAGGGUGCGAGCGUUAAUCGGAAUUACUGGGCGUAAAGCGCGCGUAGACGGUUAUUUAAGUCAGAUGUGAAAGCCCCCGGCUCAACCGGGGAAGUGCAUCUGAAACUGGCGAGCUAGAGUACGAAAGAGGGUCGCGGAAUUCCCGGUGUAGAGGUGAAAUUCGUAGAUAUCGGGAGGAACACCGGUGGCGAAGGCGGCGACCUGGGUCGAUACUGACGCUGAGGUGCGAAAGCGUGGGGAGCAAACAGG